rnacentral:tRNA from 1 species
GGAGAGGUGGCCGAGUGGACGAAGGCGCUCGCCUGCUAAGCGAGUAAGGGGGUUAUUCUCCUUCGAGGGUUCGAAUCCCUCCCUCUCCGCCA